rnacentral:tRNA from 1 species
GACGAGGUGGCCGAGUGGUUAAGGCGUUGGACUGCUAAUCCAAUGGGCUCUGCCCGCGCGAGUUCGAAUCUCGUCCUCGUCG